ensembl:lncRNA
GUGUCCCAACACAUCCCAAGACCAUCUCAUGACCAGUGUUCCUGACCUCUUUCUUCAUGGCCAAAUCUCUUCUCCUUGGAAAGGUUGGAGCUCUUUUAUACCUAGGUUGUUUGUCCUCCCCAACCCCAUAUUUUUUAGACUAUUUUAAAACCACUAGCAUCCUCCCCAAAGUAGAUACCACCCUUGGAAAAAUGGCGUGCUCUCUGUGCUUAGGCCAAUUAAUAGAGCCCCAUCCCACCCUUCCUUCCUUCCUUCCUUCCUUCCUUCCUUCCUUCCUUCCUUCCUUCCUUCCUUCCUUCCUUCCUUCCUUCCUUCCUUCCUUCCUUCCUUCCUUCCUUCCUUCCUUCCUUCCUUCCUUCCUUCCUUCCUUUCCUCUUUUCUUCCUUCCUUCCUUUCCCAGGGUAACUUAGUCUUAUUCCUGGGGAAAGUAUUUAAUAUGCGAAGAGAAAUCUUUUAGGAUCAUUGUGGGAAAUUAGCCAAUCAAAGACUAGAUUGAACAUAGUGGUCCCUUUCUUGUGUCUUUCAGCCUGUAAAUAGUUAGAGAAUCUCUGAGUCACAUCCUUUGCUCCCCUCUUUUCCUAUGGCAGAUCUAGUCAAGACUUGGGAAUGCCACCUUUGCAGCUAACUGCUGCCUUCUCUUUUUUCCUGAGGCUUGUCUGUGGGAGUUGAAGAGAAGCAGCAGCUCUGGUUUGCUUUCCUUUAUCUGUCUGCUUGGAGAGAGUUGGAGGGUCCUGCUCCUGGAUAACUUCAUGGAAGCUUCCCUGCCGUUUGACAACUUGGCCAAGCUUUUUCACCCCCAUGGACUUUGCAUUCCAACAACGCUGCCCUCCCAGUUCUUGCUUCAACAAGAUGUUCCAUCUUCUGCCUUCAGCCAUUUUCAUGGAUCGUCACUGUGCCGAGAAUUCUUUCCCAUCUUCGUGCCUCCUGGUUGGCCUGGCUUCCUUCAAGGCUCGGAUAAGGUCCUACCUUCUACAGGAAGCCUUUCCCAGUCUGGCUUCAUCUUAGUGCCUUCCCUUUGGAAUGAUCUCCAAGUGCUACCACCCACAUCUUAUUUGUACAUAGUUGCUGGCAUGUUUUUUCUUCCAUUCAUCUGGGGUGCCUUUCUUUGUAUGACCAGAGCUCACUGCAAGAUCUGGCAUAUGGUAGACACAUCAUCAGUCCUUGUGGAUUUGACUCGGUGACUUGAAACUCAUGAAAUUUGAGUUCGACGGGACCUCAGCAGGAGUCUUCUCCAAGUCCAGUGGUUCUUAGUUGUGUGUGUGUGUGUGUGUGUGUGUGUGUGUGUGUGUGUGUGUGUGACCAUCCCCUUCUUCCCUUUGGGUGUAUCCAGGCCUUUCAGAGAACCCCAGAGGAGAGACCAGGUGAUUCUGAUUCUGAGGGGGAAGAACUAGUCACUGUGGGCUUCAGGAGGAGGUGGUGCUUGAUGCGUGGUGACAUACAGAUGCCCGUGUGUGUGUGUGUGUGUGUGUGUGUGUGUGUGUGUGUGUGUGUGUGUGUAUGAUUUGGGAGGAAAUCAGCUGAUUUCCACAGGAGUCUGAGACAGAUGAGAAGAUCCCCAGCUGUUUCAGAGAGGGAAAGGCCAGGCUGGAAUGACUGGAAAGCCACAAAUGCCACAAAUGAAAAGCAUCCUGCCAUUUCUUUGUGGUAAUUGUUCUUUGUGCCAUGAUUGCAUCUGAAUCUAUUCCAGCCUGUUUAGCUGAGCCCCUGACACCUUGUGUGGAUUUAGAUGCUGAAUGAACUUGAUAUUUCUCAGGCGUACAAACUGCUGCAAGUCCACAGAAAACAGCCUUUCUCUUCCUUGAAUUAAACCUCGAGGAGGGUGAGGAGAGCUAGGAAGUGACUCAGGGAAGAACACUUGGGGUGUCGAGGCUUCAAGGCAAAAAUGGGGCCAUUCAUGUCUUCCUUUGAAUGAAACCUGGGCUUGAGGCUGACCCGGAACUCAAGCCCAUUCACUGUCCUGGAUACCCUCCUCUGGACACGAUCCCAUUGAUCUGCCAUCUUCCUAGGUCUGGGUGCCCAACAGAACAGAAGCUGGAGGCUGCAUGGAAGACCUCCCCGCCAUGCACUGGCUUUAUUUGAUUUGUACCUUUGCUCCUCGGAUGCCACACGGUUUCCUCUUCAUGAGCUCGAUGUGCACUAAAUGUCCCAGAUCUUUUCUUGUCCCCGUAAUUGCGGCUUUUC